UAUUUAUUUGAAUAGGGACAAUGCACAUUAAUGAACAUCAGUAUAAAAACAAAUGUAAAUAUGCCGGAUUAUAGCUACAAAGCUGGUUUUCAUCCGUAGUCCCUAGGCAGGCAAAGAAAAUAUAAUAUACAAAAUAAACAACACAAGGGAAUGUUAAAAGUCUAGUGGUCACAUGACUGGUUUGUUUUCAGCCAUAGUUUGAGUUAAGCUCUAAACCUGAUCAAUGUAGGGCUCUCCCGUAUGUGUAGAGGAAGACUGUUCCAGAUGUUAGUGGCCCUCACAGAGAGAGUGUUCUGUCCAAAACUUGUUCUCCUGUGGGGGACCUCACAGUCUCCUCUGGAGGAGGCCCUGAUUGUAAUUCACAAACAUGAAAAAGCCAC